rnacentral:lncRNA from 10 species
GAGCCCGGACUGGAGGAGUUGAGAAGAGGAGGAAGAAUAAUGGGAGGAGACAGGACCUUUUUCAACUUGACAAAUAGGGUCUCACUCUUGCCCGGGCUGGCCUUGAACUCCUGGGCUCAAGCCAUCUACCUGCCUCGACCUCCCAGAGUGUUGGGAUUACAGACCAUCCAGACCUUUCAAGUUGCCAAAAAGUUAUGCAGCCCUGAUAGCCGACUGGCCGGUGGUGGUCUUGGGCAUGUGCACCAUGUUCAUCGUAGUCUGUGCCUUGGUUGGAGUAUUAGUGCCAGAGCUCCCUGACUUCUCUGAUCCAUUGCUGGGUUUUGAACCAAGAGGAACAGCAAUAGGCCAGAGAUUGGUCACAUGGAAUAAUAUGGUGAAAAAUACAGGAUACAAAGCAACAUUAGCAAAUUAUCCCUUUAAAUAUGCAGAUGAACAAGCCAAAAGCCAUCGGGAUGAUAGAUGGUCAGAUGAUCAUUAUGAAAGAGAGAAAAGAGAAGUUGACUGGAACUUCCACAAGGACAGCUUUUUCUGCGACGUUCCAAGUGACCGAUAUUCCAGAGUGGU